rnacentral:rRNA from 1 species
AGAGUUUGAUCCUGGCUCAGGAUGAACGCUGGCGGCGUGCCUAAUACAUGCAAGUCGAGCGAACGGACGAGAAGCUUGCUUCUCUGAUGUUAGCGGCGGACGGGUGAGUAACACGUGGAUAACCUACCUAUAAGACUGGGAUAACUUCGGGAAACCGGAGCUAAUACCGGAUAAUAUUUUGAACCGCAUGGUUCAAAAGUAAAAGACGGUCUUGCUGUCACUUAUAGAUGGAUCCGCGCUGCAUUAGCUAGUUGGUAAGGUAACGGCUUACCAAGGCAACGAUGCAUAGCCGACCUGAGAGGGUGAUCGGCCACACUGGAACUGAGACACGGUCCAGACUCCUACGGGAGGCAGCAGUAGGGAAUCUUCCGCAAUGGGCGAAAGCCUGACGGAGCAACGCCGCGUGAGUGAUGAAGGUCUUCGGAUCGUAAAACUCUGUUAUUAGGGAAGAACAUAUGUGUAAGUAACUGUGCACAUCUUGACGGUACCUAAUCAGAAAGCCACGGCUAACUACGUGCCAGCAGCCGCGGUAAUACGUAGGUGGCAAGCGUUAUCCGGAAUUAUUGGGCGUAAAGCGCGCGUAGGCGGUUUUUUAAGUCUGAUGUGAAAGCCCACGGCUCAACCGUGGAGGGUCAUUGGAAACUGGAAAACUUGAGUGCAGAAGAGGAAAGUGGAAUUCCAUGUGUAGCGGUGAAAUGCGCAGAGAUAUGGAGGAACACCAGUGGCGAAGGCGACUUUCUGGUCUGUAACUGACGCUGAUGUGCGAAAGCGUGGGGAUCAAACAAGAUUAGAUACCCUGGUAGUCCACGCCGUAAACGAUGAGUGCUAAGUGUUAGGGGGUUUCCGCCCCUUAGUGCUGCAGCUAACGCAUUAAGCACUC